GACGAACGCUGGCGGCGUGCUUAACACAUGCAAGUCGAACGGGAAGGCCCUGCUUUUGUGGGGUGCUCGAGUGGCGAACGGGUGAGUAACACGUGAGUAACCUGCCCUUGACUUUGGGAUAACUUCAGGAAACUGGGGCUAAUACCGGAUAGGAGCUCCUGCUGCAUGGUGGGGGUUGGAAAGUUUCGGCGGUUGGGGAUGGACUCGCGGGUUAUCAGCUUGUUGGUGGGGUAGUGGCUUACCACGGGUUUGAGGGGUAGCCGGCCUGGGAGGGUGACCGGCCACAUUGGGGCUGAGAGACGGCCCAGACUCCUACGGGGGGCAGCAGUGGGGAAUAUUGCACAAUGGGCGGAAGCCUGAUGCAGCAACGCCGCGUGCGGGAUGACGGCCUUCGGGGUGUAAACCGCUUUCGCAUGUGACGAAGCGUGAGUGACGGUAAUGGGUAAAGAAGCACCGGCUAACUACGUG
rnacentral:rRNA from 1 species